AUGUUUGUAGGCCUCGUAGUUCUGCUGCUCUCCUCGCCGGCGCCAUCGGCCGGUGACCAGCUGUUCUGCGCCGGCGCCAACAGCAAGUACAGCCCAAACAGCACCUACCGGACCAGCCUUAGAUUCCUCGCCGAUGAACUUACCGCGAGAGCCAUGAAGUCCCACUCGGCCACUGGCACGGCCGGCACGGGCUCCGACAAGGUCUACGGCGCCGUGCUCUGCCGAGGGGACUCCACCGGCGCCGACUGCAGCAGGCGCCUCCGGGAGGCCUUCGGCAGGACCAUCAACGCCGACAGCACCGGGGCCGCCGCAUGCGCGCUCCACAAGGACGUGGCGCUCUACUCCGAGCUGUACCAGCUUCGCUUCUCCGACGAGGACUUCCUCUCCGCCUUCAGCAACGCGCCGUUGUGGGUCGACGGCACCAACCUGAACCUUGUGCCGGCCGCCGAUGCUGGGCAGUUCGACGAGCUGGUCGCCAAGCUAACGAGAUCCCUUGCCGAGGCCGCGGCAGCGCAGCCGGACAGUUACGCAACGGCCGACGCGCCGUGGUCGUCGCGGGAGAGCGAGCGGACCGUGUACGGGCUCGCGCAGUGCACGCAGGACAUGCCGCCGGAGCGCUGCCGCGCUUGCCUCGACGGAAUCGGCGCUGAGAUACAGCGGCGGAUCGGUAGCAGCAAGAUGGGCGGGGCGAUUCAUGGUGCGCGGUGCACACUCCGGUACGAGACCGGCACCCAGUUCUUUACGGAGACUGCCACAGGGCAACGGAAGGGCCAUGCUGUCAGGCUCAGAGCAGCCAUCAGGUGA
rnacentral:rRNA from 1 species